rnacentral:lncRNA from 1 species
UCUCUAUGCAGCUGGUUGAUAUGCCUGAUAACCUGGUAUUCCCCCAGCAAAGAUGAUCUCAUUUUAAGAGUUUUCUGAUUGUGACAUUCAUUCAUAGACCUUCCUGUCCGGCCAAUCUCUGAAUCAACUGGUAAGUCUCAACUUGAGCAUCACACCAUCUGAGGAGAGUUUCCUUGUCUGCCUCAUACACAACCUACUUAGGCACAUCAGCAGAUCCAGGUGGAUUGACAUCCUCUACAGAAAGAUGUUCAGUAACAGCGGCAGUUACAGAAAUCCUUGCCUUAUUUCAGUGUUCAUUCCUGAAGUAUACACAUGCUUUUAACAUUGACGAUAAAACUUAAUAGUACACUUAAGCUGAAGCAAUCAUCUUGAACAAUAUAGAGAUAAAGAAUGGUUAGUUUUCCUAUAACAAAAUGUUCAUGGAGUUAUUUAAUAAUAAAAGUUAUGUCUCUAUCUUUUUCA